GACAGAGGGUGCAAACGUUGUUCGGAAUUACUGGGCGUAAAGGGUUUGUAGGUGGCUUGCUAAGUCAGACGUGAAAUCCCUCAGCUUAACUGGGGAACUGCGUCUGAUACUGGCGAGCUUGAGUGCAGGAGAGGAACGCGGAAUUCCAGGUGUAGCGGUGAAAUGCGUAGAUAUCUGGAGGAACACCGGUGGCGAAGGCGGCGUUCUGGACUGUAACUGACACUGAGAAACGAAAGCCAGGGUAGCAAACGGG
rnacentral:rRNA from 1 species